CCCUAUCGCCCGAUUCGAAGACUCGACAACAGCUUCGUGUCUCUCUCUCUUCGAUCCACUGCAACCUCUCUAGAACCUUCGAUCAACUCGACUCAACUCCUCUCUAAAUCGCAAAACCUGUAUUCCAAUUUAUCUUUCGUGAAAAUUUGUAGUCCAAUUACUCUGUAAUUUUUCUCUUUCUUUUCGAUUCUCUGUAUGUCCAUCAGGGCUAGGGUUUGUUUUUAAUUCGCUCAAAUGAAGUCGAUGGAAUUAAUUUGUAGCUCAUGUUUUCUGCUUUCGAUUAGAAUCAUGUAACAUUAGGGUUUCAAUUAUUGUCAAUUUUGUGGCGAUGGAGAUGGAGAGCAGUCGUAGAACGCUGGACAGAUCGAGAGAACCAGGUCUGAAGAAACCCAGAUUGGCCGAAGACUCGGUAACGCUGGCAAGGUACAGAGAGAGAGAUGCGGAGAGCAGCGAUUCGGUGCGAGGAGGUCCCCCAUAUCAGCAGCAGCAGGAGCUAGUGAGUCAGUACAAGGCUGCUCUGUCGGAGCUGACAUUCAAUUCGAAACCCAUCAUCACUAACUUGACUAUCAUAGCGGGCGAAAACUUGCACGCCGCCAAGGCCAUCGCGGCAGCUGUCUGCGCUAAUAUCAUUGAGGUUCCAAGUGAGCAGAAGCUUCCUUCGCUUUAUCUUUUAGACAGUAUUGUGAAGAAUAUUGGGAGGGAUUAUAUAAAAUACUUUGCUGCCAGAUUACCGGAGGUGUUCUGCAAGGCAUACAGACAGGUAGACUCUUCUAUACAUCCCGGAAUGCGGCAUCUUUUUGGAACAUGGAAAGGAGUAUUCCCUCCCCAGUCACUUCAGCUGAUUGAAAAAGAACUCAGUUUCCCCCCUGCUGUCAAUGGUUUACCUUCAGGAUCUACAGCAUCCAGGCCAGAUUCACAAUCUCCACGUCCACCAAACAGUAUUCAUGUGAAUCCCAAGUAUUUGGAGGCUAGACAACAACGUCUUCAACAGUCCAACAAAGUAAAAGGUGCCGCGAAUGACAGUACUGGAACCAUGGUGAACUUACAAGAGGAUACAGAGAGAGUGGACAGGGCAACUGGUAUUGUUUCCGGGAGGCCACGGGCAGAUCCCCCUCUUAAGAUGCAAAAUGUUCAGCGUCCUCAGAGAGAUUCUGUAUCAUUCAGAGAUUAUGAACAUGGUUCUGAUCUUUCAAGGCAGACAGGCUUGGGAAUUGGAAGAGCUAGUGAGAGGGAUGUGGAUCGAGCGUUUGACAAACCUUGGAAUGGAGGUGGCAGUGGUAUGGCAGAAACAAUGGCCACCCUAAAGAAUGGUUUUGAUAUCAAGCAAGGGUUUCCAAGUUACUUAAACCCCAGAUCGACGAACACUGACGUGCGUCUACUGCCUGCACAGAGCAUUUCAGGUAAAAGCAGUAGCAGUGGCGUGAGCAGGAGCUGGAAGAACUCUGAUGAAGAGGAGUUUAUGUGGGAUGGCAUGAACUCUAGAUCCGGUGAUCAUGCUGCAAUCAGUAGCUCAAGGAAAGAUUACUGGAUCCCUGAUGAUUCUGAAAGAUUGGGCAAUGAAAACUCCUUUCGUAAGCUACGAAAUUCAACUGACUUUGGUUCAAGGACUGAUACAGAAGCUUCAACUGAUUCACCGUCCACAAAUCAGAAACAUCAAGCAGCUUUAGGUCAUCGCAUGUCAUCAUCGUGGACACAGGAGCCAUAUUCAACAGAUAGGAUCAGCAAUUCAGGCUCAUUCCAGCCACAGGUGGGGUCAUCCAAUAUUGGUUCCUCAAGUUUUCGGUUUUUGAAGAAUCCGGUGUCAGGUUCCACUGGAUCAGGCCAACCAUACUCUGUAGGAGCUGAGUCACCUGGACAGUCACCUAUGUACCAGUAUCCUCUCUCACCUUCUCUGCCACACCGAUCCCAUCAAGUAUUGCACAAUUUGGCGGACCAAGACCAACUGCCAGCUCAACUCCUUCCUCGUCCAGACUUGAUAAAAUCUCAACUUUCAGGACCCUUAAACAUGGGGCCACAUAAUCAGUUCUCUAAGGAACCUUUUCUUGCGCAUCCCCAGAAAGUUCCGAUGGGAAAACCACAAAUAUUGCAACCCCAUAAUUUACAGACGUCAUCUCCUAUUGUGCCUGCUAUUCAACCAAGACAGAAUACUCCUUUUUCACAACUACUAUCGCCAGACCCCAUUCUGUCUGAACCUUCUGGCCAACCCCAUAAAUUGCAAUCGCCUCAGACUGUAAUUUCUGGAAAUCCCUCAACUUCUGGGAAUUCUUCCUUGGAUAAUGCAAAUUUUCCUGCAGCAGAAAGCACUUGUAAUUUGUUGGCUUCGAUUGUGAAAAGUGGAAUACUCACUACCAAUUCUGUUUCUGAUAGUCUUCCUAAACUGGGUUUCCAGGAUUCUGGGGCAGUAUCAUCUCACCCAUUUGUAAAGCCGCCUCUGCCAAGUAACCCUCCAUCAACUCAAUUUACAUUCUCGGGCCCCACGGUAGCAUCAGGAUCUUUACUAACUCUACCUUCCCAUGACAACACUUCAACUUCCAUGACUUCCUCUCAGAGAAAGCUCAAACAGCCACCACUACCAUCUGGUCCUCCCCCUUCUUCAGUUAUGGGUAAUAGUGCAUUAGCACAAGCUUCAAUGGAAAAUGAUGUUUCUAAUCCAGUGUCAAGUCUUAUUAAUUCAUUGGUUGCAAAGGGAUUGAUAUCUUCAUCAAAGAUGAAGCCAUCAUCAUCUGUGUCAGAGCAAAUGCCUACUCAACUCCACAACCAUAGUGCAAGCAUUGUCUCAACUAGUUCAGUCCCAGUUACCUCUACUAUCACAGUUUCAUCCAAAAUGGAGGAGCUUUCCAAACUUGCGGCUACGAGUUCUGUGGCCUUAUCUCAAUCCGCCCCUGUAGAUAUCAAACCUCUCAUUGGGUUUGAGUUUAAGCCAGAUGUAAUUCGGCAGUCACAUCAAUCUGUUAUCACUGAACUCGUUGAUGACCUUCCCCAUCGAUGCAGCACUUGUGGCAUUGGACUUAAACAUCAAGAACAGCUUCAGAGACAUUUGGAGUGGCAUGAUUUGAAAAAACCAGAUGUGAACUGUUCAAAUAAGGCUUCAAGGAGAGGUUGGUAUGCAGAUUCUGCGGAUUGGGUCACUGGAAAAGUAGGACUGGCUUCCGGACUGCAACCCACCAGUGUUUUGGAAUUGCCUGGUGAGGGAGUUGAGAUGAACUUGGAGAUGGUUGUUGCAGAUGAAACUCAAUGUGUCUGUGUUUUGUGUGGUGAGCUAUUUGAAGAUUACUACAGUCACGAAUCAGACGAGUGGAUGUUCAAAGGUGCUGUUUACAUGACCAUCCCUUUGGGAGAGGUUGGAAGUUCAAGGGAGAUUGCCACUCAAGGUCCCAUUGUCCAUGCAAACUGUAUAUCAGAGAGUUCCGCCCAGGAUUUGGGAUUGUCUAGCAGGGCUUAAUUGGAAAACAAUAUAUGAUGUUUUGGGGUGGAAAAGGAGACCAUCAUAAUGCCAUGCGCGAGAACGAAUAUAGUGCUAGCAGCCUAGUGAAAACUACUUCAGUACUACAAUUGACAGAAGGCAUACCAAUGCGUCCUCAUAAUAGCAAAUAAGCUUGGGCUUUAUGUUUGUUUAUCUGCCUAAAUCGAUUUGCCUCGCUCUUUUUCUUUUUUUAAUCUGUGGUGGAUCAGUGUUUGUUUCCUUUCUUUUUAUCUUUUAAUUUUUUUGUGCUGCAUUUCUAUUACAGACAUUGACAUUCUCCUGUAAUCACUGCCAGCAAUGAAUCUGGGUUUGAUCUUUUGGCUAUCCUUAGAUACUUGGAGAAGUUGCAGUGCGCCUUAUGUUGUGUACUAUUCCUGUAAGACGUGACUCAAUGGAUGUGUUUCAGUUACGCAUAUGUUGUUUAAUGCAAAAUAUAUGUUGGUUUUUGAA